AAGUUGUAUUUGGAAUCAAAGGAGUGGGAAGAGAAAUUGGGGACUAACAUCGAUAUUUCGGUCUCAUUAGCCCCACGCUAAUGCUACUUAUUUUGACUAAUUGUUCUAUACUAUUUUGUUAGGUUAUCUAUUUUAUUUUUUUUAAAGCUAAUUUUUAGUUUUUAAUCUCCAAUUAAAAUUUAUAAUUGAUUGUAUACUUGUUUUUCUUUUUUGGGUUU
rnacentral:lncRNA from 1 species